GACGAACGCUGGCGGCGUGCUUAACACAUGCAAGUCGAACGGAAAGGCCCUGCUUUUGUGGGGUGCUCGAGUGGCGAACGGGUGAGUAACAAGUGAGUAACCUGCCCUUGACUUUGGGAUAACGUCAGGAAACUGGGGCUAAUACCGGAUAGGAGCUCCUGCUGCAUGGUGGGGGUUGGAAAGUUUCGGCGGUUGGGGAUGGACUCGCGGCUUAUCAGCUUGUUGGUGGGGUAGUGGCUUACCAAGGCUUGGACGGGUAGCCGGCCUGGGAGGGUGACCGGCCACAUUGGGACUGGGAUACGGCCCAGACUCCAACGGGAGGCAGCAGUGGGGAAUAUUGCACAAUGGGCGGAAGCCUGAUGCAGCAACGCCGCGUGCGGGAUGACGGCCUUCGGGUUGUAAACCGCUUUCGCCUGUGACGAAGCGUGAGUGACGGUAAUGGGUAAAGAAGCACCGGCUAACUACGUG
rnacentral:rRNA from 1 species